GUGGGGAAUAUUGGACAAUGGGCGCAAGCCUGAUCCAGCCAUGCCGCGUGAGUGAUGAAGGCCCUAGGGUUGUAAAGCUCUUUCACCGGAGAAGAUAAUGACGGUAUCCGGAGAAGAAGCCCCGGCUAACUUCGUGCCAGCAGCCGCGGUAAUACGAAGGGGGCUAGCGUUGUUCGGAAUUACUGGGCGUAAAGCGCACGUAGGCGGACAUUUAAGUCAGGGGUGAAAUCCCGGGGCUCAACCCCGGAACUGCCUUUGAUACUGGGUGUCUGGAGUAUGGAAGAGGUAAGUGGAAUUCCGAGUGUAGAGGUGAAAUUCGUAGAUAUUCGGAGGAACACCAGUGGCGAAGGCGGCUUACUGGUCCAUUACUGACGCUGAGGUGCGAAAGCGUGGGGAGCAAACAGGAUUAGAAACCCCGGUAGUCC
rnacentral:rRNA from 1 species